GGUCCGGAGCAGCGUGGAAGACUAGUGAUUUUGUUGUUUGGUGUCAAAAUUGACAACAAAUCAUUGUCUUCCUCACUGCCCCGAGACG
rnacentral:pre_miRNA from 1 species